AGCGAACGCUGGCGGCAGGCCUAACACAUGCAAGUCGAACGGAUCCUUCGGGAUUAGUGGCGGACGGGUGAGUAACACGUGGGAACGUGCCCUUUGGUUCGGAACAACUCAGGGAAACUUGAGCUAAUACCGGAUGUGCCCUUCGGGGGAAAGAUUUAUCGCCAUUGGAGCGGCCCGCGUCUGAUUAGCUAGUUGGUGAGGUAACGGCCCACCAAGGCGACGAUCAGUAGCUGGUCUGAGAGGAUGAUCAGCCACACUGGGACUGAGACACGGCCCAGACUCCUACGGGAGGCAGCAGUGGGGAAUCUUGCGCAAUGGGCGAAAGCCUGACGCAGCCAUGCCGCGUGAAUGAUGAAGGUCUUAGGAUUGUAAAAUUCUCUCAGCGGGGACGAUAAUGACGGUACCCGCAGAAGAAGCUCCGGCUAACUUCGUG
rnacentral:rRNA from 1 species